rnacentral:lncRNA from 1 species
AUCCGGCUGCAGCUCCUGCUGGAAAGAGGGGGGAGGAGGAGCUGGGGGGAGGAGAGGGGAAGAGGCGGAGGGAGAGGUCUUGCUGGGGAGGGAAGGGAAGAGGCUAAAGGUGAUUUGAACUUGUUUUUAGCCUUUUCCUAAUGACAUCUUCCUCUGUAGGAGUGCGUCGCCACCUUCCCCACAGGUUUAUUUUGCUUUCACUCCUCCGGGCACUUUCUAGUUCUGAGUUGUCAGCUGUGAGGAUUGGGUUUACCUCGCUCGUGUUGCUGUGGGUGAGAAAAUAAUGCUGCUGUGUGGGUGUGUGUUGCUCGAAGGAUUUCAAGGACCAGAACAGGAUUGCUGCUCUCUGAACAGUUUCAAAUUAUUUCCUCUGGGGGUGCCAAUGGAGACCUGAAGAAGAGGUUUGAAAGAUUACUUUUGAUGCGUGUUUUAAGGACAUGGCCAGCUCAGAUGCUUCAUCAGUAACAGAUUUUGAUAGAUUUGGGGUUUUGAAUUUUUGUCCCUUGCAACCUAUUUUGAUAUAUUUCAAUUAGAGUUUAUCCUCAGCUGACCUCUGGAAUGCUGACAUACCCAUGAAGUAUUGCCAAAAACCAGGAGGUCCCUGGGCGCACAGGAGGCAGACAUAUUCCUGGGGGUGGGGGGAAUGGAAAUAGAGGUUGUGAAUUAGAGAGCAGAGGGCAAAAUUAUUCUCCAGCCCCAUGGGGAUGAGGAUGUGGGGCCAAGAAAAAUAAAUAGGUGAAUUUCUCCUUUUUAUUUGAAUGA